rnacentral:rRNA from 1 species
AUUGAACGCUGGCGGCAUGCUUUACACAUGCAAGUUGAACGGCAGCGCGAUAUUAUGUUUACAUAGUAUUGGCGGCGAGUAGCGGACGGGUGAGUAAUACAUCGGAACGUGUCAUUGAGUGGGGGGUAACUUAGCGAAAGCUAAGCUAAUACCGCAUGAGCUUGAGAGAGGAAAGGCUGGGACCCGCGAGGGUCUGUUGCUCGAUGAGUGGCCGAUGGCUGAUUAGCUAGUUGGUGAGGUAAGGGAUUACAAAGGGGACGAUCAGUAGCUGGUCUGAGAGGAUGAUCAGCCACACUGGGACUGAGAUACGGCCCAGACUCCUACGGGAGGCAGCAGUGGGGAAUAUUGGACAAUGGGGGGAACCCUGAUCCAGCGAUGCCGCGUGAGUGAAGAAGGCUUUCGGGUUGUAAAGCUCUUUUGUCAGGGAAGAAAGGACUAUUUUUAAUAGAGAUAGUAGAUGACGGUACCUGAAGAAUAAGCACCGGCUAACUACGUGCCAGCAGCCGCAGUAAGAC